rnacentral:sRNA from 1 species
UUUAAUUUUAGAGUUUCACCUGUAGUAUACCAUCUUCUAUUAUAAUUAAUAUCGAUCUAAACCAGUCAAUUCUAGGAUUUUCCAGCUUGUAUUAAAAAUUGAAUCACAUCAUACACAUAAAAAAAUCUAAUACGUUACUAAUUAUUGUAAUAUAUAAGAUUUUAAAUUUUUAAAAUAAGAUGUAUGAAAUUGAAUAUAAAUAUUCAAAUUAUGACCCGUUACUCAGUAGAAAGUUUUCUUAAAUCUAUUUUUGACUCGUUAUAAUAUAUUUUCAUGUAUUGAAUAGUUUAUAUUUAUUUUUAAAAAUUCAAAUUAUGGCAUAUGCAAAACAAACUCUAAUUAUUUUUUUAUAACGAUGAUAUUAUUUUUUUGCAAAAAUAGAAUCAUAUGAACUAUAAUAAUUAAUAAAAAA